rnacentral:lncRNA from 1 species
UUUCAUGGAACAAUACUAUUUGGAACAAUACAAUUUGGUUGAAAUAGAAUAACCUGAUCUGGCAGGUUGCAGGUACAGUUGGGUCUGGAGCACACAGCCUCGUGCAUUCCUGACGUCACCAGGCAUAUGUCGCAUACUGAGAAGAGACCAGAAUUGUCAACAGUUGAGAGGAAGAAGCUGAAGCACUAUCGCAUUUCCUAGUUGCCACUGGUGUUUACUGGCAAACGGACGUCAUUUGCAUUGGAACUUCAAACACGGAGUGUUCUAAUUUAGUGCCUAGGCUACGUUAUAAAAACGACUUCUGUGGCUGAGAGCUCUUUUUGGAGGGAACAUGGCUUCAAAUGGGAUAGAAAGUAUGCAGUUAGCGGAGGACCAGAUCAAAAUUCUGGAGGAGAAUUUCACCAGAGUCAGCAAGCAUCCGGAUGAGUCGACGCUCAUGUUAAUCGCAGCUGAAAGCGGACUAACCGAGGAAGAGACAGCGAAAUGGUUCAGGCUACGCAACGCACGGUGGAGACAGGCCGAGGGCCUUCCAGCUCAACUGGGAUCAGUGAAAGACUGAAAUUGGAGUGGUGAAGGAAACCUCCCCCUCACCUCGUUGCUUCUCUGACUGAUCUGCCACGCCCUUACUGACCAGCUCCCAGGACACAUCAACCACUCAUACCUUCCUUCCAUCAUUCUCUCUCCUUUGUAUCUAAGCUAUUUUCAUUUAGUGAAUGUGUGAAGUGUAAUGCGAGUCAAAUGUUUUUUGCCAAUAUAAUUGGCAUGUUUACAUAUAAUAAUAAAUAAACAAACAUAUAUUAUAAAUGACGUAGCCUGCUUUCAUGCUGCAUGUCAUCAGUAUGAGGGGCCUUCUGAACUUAAUGAGGAAGUACUGUAGGGUACAAUGGCGGAAAGGUUUGGAGGGGGGGACUUUGUUGUAAGCCUUUGUUUUGUGCAUCUCUCAGCAGGGAGCGGGAUAACAUUGGGCUUUCAUGGGACUAUAAAACAUGUGAGGCAGCGCUCAUGUUAUGACACAUUCAACAGGAAUCAGCUGGCCCUGUAACAGGGACUUGGGGUUGAUGGCUAAUUUGAAGGGAAAGGCUUUUGACGUAAGCUGGGAUCAGAGCAACCAACUGCCAGCAGGUGAUGCCACCUACCUGUCGGUUCAAUUGUCCCUGUUUCUAGGAUGUCAGACAUCCUUUCUAAAUAUCUGUCUAGGGAAAACAACAUGUAAAGGAAAGAGAGGGAGACAGAACCCACUGGGCACACACUGGUUGAAUCAACAUUGUUUCAAUGUCAUGUCAAUGAAAUGAC